rnacentral:misc_RNA from 1 species
CGCACCUUGCGCUCCUUGGUAUUCCGAGGAGCAUGCCUGUUUGAGUGUCAUGAUAAUCUCAAUUCAGCAUUUUGGUUCCUCCAAUUUGUUGACUUGGACUUGGGGGUUGUGCUGAUCUUUGUAUUGGCUCCUCUUAAAUGUAUUAGCUGGAUUACUGUCAGUAAUAGUCCAUGGUGUUGUAAUCUCGGCGCUGUGACUUAACUAGACGACAAUCUGCUUCUAGUGUAAUUGCUUCUGGCAAUAUUUGUACACUUGACCUCAAAUCAGGUAGGACUACCCGCUGAACUUAA